rnacentral:tRNA from 1 species
AAGGGAGACCUAAUUCAGGUAGGAGACGAAAAAAAAGUAGUCCCAACCAAGAAUCAAUCCCAAAAGGUCGGAGCGAGGCGAAAUUGGCUUUCAAACUAGGUUCUGGGUUCACACAAGACCUGAAUCAGGAACAAGGGCUAUUAGCUCAGGUGGUUAGAGCGCACCCCUGAUAAGGGUGAGGUCCCUGGUUCGAGUCCAGGAUGGCCCCCCUGCACAGGUGGCAAAAACAAGAGAAGCGAGGAAUCAGCACCUUAUCUUAUAUACAUAUAUAAGAGAGAAUGCUGGCUCUGAGUACAGAGUCCAGAGGAACCUUGAAAACUGCAUAGAGCUAGGUGAAAAAGCCAAAAAAGAAGACCGCAA